rnacentral:rRNA from 1 species
GUGCCAGACUCCUACGGGAGGCAGCAGUGGGGAAUAUUGCACAAUGGGGGAAACCCUGAUGCAGCGACGCCGCGUGAGUGAAGAAGUAAUUCGUUAUGUAAAGCUCUAUCAGCAGGGAAGAAAAUGACGGUACCUGAGUAAGAAGCCCCGGCUAACUACGUGCCAGCAGCCGCGGUAAUACGUAGGGGGCAAGCGUUAUCCGGAUUUACUGGGUGUAAAGGGAGCGUAGGCGGUGAUGCGAGUCAGAAGUGAAAGCCCGCAGCUCAACUGCGGGACUGCUUUUGAAACUGUAUGACUAGAUUGCAGGAGAGGUAAGUGGAAUUCCUAGUGUAGCGGUGAAAUGCGUAGAUAUUAGGAGGAACACCAGUGGCGAAGGCGGCUUACUGGACUGUAAAUGACGCUGAGGCUCGAAAGCGUGGGGAGCAAACAGGAUUAGAUACCCCUGUA